rnacentral:rRNA from 1 species
GGUAUCCUACGGGGGGCAGCAGUGAGGAAUAUUGGUCAAUGGGCGGGAGCCUGAACCAGCCAAGUCGCGUGAGGGAAGACGGUCCUAUGGAUUGUAAACCUCUUUAGGCGGGGAGCAAUGCCGGGCACGCGUGCCCGGAGGGAGAGUACCCGCAGAAUAAGCAUCGGCUAACUCCGUGCCAGCACCCGCGGUAAUACGGAGGAUGCGAGCGUUAUCCGGAUUUAUUGGGUUUAAAGGGAGCGUAGGUGGAUUGUUAAGUCCGUUGU